CCUCUAAACCCUCGUGAAUAUUCAUCUUCAAUAAUCGACAGCCAAGAAACAUCACAGAAAGCUCUCAAUCAUCUUCAAUCAUCGACUUUUCUUCUCGUUUUUCAUUUCUUUUCUCUCUCUUUUAUCAUCAGUUUUUCGAUUUUAGGGUUUUUCAUCGUCUGUUAGUCUAGUUUAGGAUUUUGAUUUCAGAGAUCUGUACAAGUCUUUCAUCAUCUGUAGGGUUUUAGUUUUUUCGAUUUGUCUGGUAUGCUGAUUUGAAGAUGAUUUGGUAUCAUUGAAGGAAGAACAAGAUAACUCAUUGACCCAAUUAGGUUUUUUACACCAUACAAAUCGAGAGAAAAAGGCUUCAAUAAAAAUCAUGGAUCAUCAAAAUGGGAGCUGUAGCAGCUUCAGAGGGAGGUGGUUCUCUAGGGGGUUGAGUAGAUUCUGAAGCAGAGGCUAUGAAGAUGAAUCUGACGAAUUAAAAUCAGAAAAGUGAAUGAUUAAGAUGAUGAAGAAGAUGAGAUUAGUGGAGAGGAAGAAGAUGAACAUGAGCAUAAGGAAAAUCAUCUUUAGUCCCCUUUUCAUCCAUGGUCUUGAUUAAGAUGCGUGAGAUUCCUGAGGGGUACCUUGGUUCUACAGUUAACAACGAUGUUGUCACAGUCCCUGCCUACUUCAAUGAUUCUCAGCGUCAAGCUACAAAGGAUGCUGGAGUCAUUGCUGGUCUUAAUGUUAUGCGUAUUAUCAAUUAGCAUAUUGCCGCUGCCAUUGCCUAUGGUCUUGACAAAAAGGCCACCAAUGUUGGAGAGAGGAAUGCUUUUAUCUUCGAUCUAGGAGGUGGUAUCUUUGAUGUCACAUCUGUGAUAUUGGUGCAACAGUAGUUAUCUGCCAAUGGGGUUUUGAUGAAUCGGAACUUGCCUGCUGUUAGAUGGGUGGAAGGAUUAUGCCAAGGUUCCAAGAACUGAAAAAUUGGGAAAGGCUGGGUUAGUUAGAGAGAAAUCCUUUGGUACGAAGGCGGUCACUAUCAUCACUUGUGGUGGUUAUGUUAUAUGUAGACAUGGAGGUCAAUGGCGUGCCCUUAAAGGCAUUUGUCGACAGUGGAGCACAAUCAACAAUAAUCCUUUAUUUGCAAACAGAAUGAAGUUUUGAAGCACAGAAUGCAUAUUUAUUUAUUAGAGCAUCUUAGUAUGACUUUUAGUCUGCUUGAAAUGGUUUUUGUUUGGUUUAUACGUUUCCCUUUGUUUUAAUUUGACUGGCUUGGACUUGACUGGGAUUGAUUUAGUUAAGUUUGAACCCACCGCUUGGAUUGAUAGAUGAUGUAAAGUAUCACAAGUGAUCAAUGGAUCUUUUAUUUAUUUAUUAGAGCAUGAAACAGUUAGUUGUAACGUUUGAUUCAAGAAUAAUCUUAUAAUCUGACGAAUAUCUGUGAGCUGAAACUUCUCUUUAUGUAGCUUCUUUGUUAAAAUCGUAAUAUCUUUAAUUGUAUGACCUACUUACUGUUUAUUCGAUUUUCAUCUGUUCCCUUGUAUUAGUUAGUGUAAUUGCUAUCAUGGAUUCUCUUAGAUUUAGACAAUCUAAUUCAACGCUUCUUUAGCACUGAUAUUUGGUUCACGCCCUGAAACAAGUCUUGUUAUUUUUGGAGCAUCAAUGGCUGGCUCUUGUAUUGGUUUCCUUGUGCACAACAGGUAUAGGGCAUCCAUAUUUAUGGGUGAUACAAGGUCCCUGGCCCUAGGUGGGGCAAUAGCUGCAAUGGCAGCUUGUACAACAAUGUCCUUUCCCUUGUUCUUUUCACCUGGAGUCUUCGUGAAGCUUCGUCCCUAAAUUAUUGAUCUUUUUCCUUUAGUGUUUGUUCGGUCCCUUUUUGUAUGAUAUAUUCCCAAAACAGUCCUCUUAAUAAUCAUUUUUUAUACGUGAUUUUAAACUUAUUUGAUAUAUUCCCAUUAAUUGAGCAGUGGAAGUGACACGUUGAAUUUAUGCUCCUCCAUGAAUCGGAAAACCGCUGAGCUAUGGGGUAGAUUGAGACUCCCCUGAUGAAGCACUUCGGAUGUAUGAUGAUGCUUGCCCCAUCCUUGAAGAACAUGAAAAGGAGCAAAUCGCAUUUGAUAUAUAUCGUGUUGCUGCCAAUGUUUAUAUACAAUUAAAAAGGAAAAAAUGUGGUGUUUCUGUUAUCUCUUUCAUAUUGUCCUGUAUGUGACUGUUAUAUGCUAUCUCUAACCAACUGAAUUUGGUUUAUGCUGUUGCGUUUUCCGAGUUUUCUUGUUUAACAACAUCGCUGCUAAAGUCGUUGUUAACAGUGUUUUGUGUCUGCAGAUGAAGUACGGCGUAGCUGCUUCUUUCUUGGAAGAGAGAGCCCCUGCAAGAGAAGUGUCCAUGGAUUGAAGAUACGUAGUUGCCGUCCCUUUGGAUUCCAUUCGCUUCACUGAUUCUGCUUCAAAUGCAGCAGUCUAUGGCAUGAGAAGCCUGUUAUGUAAGUCAUGUUUCUGUGCGUAUUAGUCUGCGACAUGAGAAAACUUAGAAAUAGAUAUGGAACCUAGGAAGUUUUUUAAGUUUUUGUGAACUAUAUUUUGGAACUUAGUGAGUUUCUAUGUA